UUGCUGCUGUUCUUUGCUCUCAGGGCCAUCUCCUUACCCUUUUCCCCUUUCCCCUUUUCCCGGGACGUGGGCCCUUGGGUCCCCCGUCCCCUUUGUCACGGAAUCGGGCCUAACGCCUGUAAACCGUUAACUGGGAAUCUCAACAACUACCUAUAGUAUCAAGCCAUCCUUACACAAUCAUAAAUUGAAAGAACUCUACAAAUCUCAGAAAUUCAAUAAUCCUCCAUUAAAUGCUGCCUGGAUAUUGAAAUACAUCAUUCUUUCUAAUAAGUACAGUUUCCAUUAUUUUUAUUGUUAUUUAUGUGCAGCAUGAGAAACCCUUGUAUUAUGCCAGCAAAGAGCAGGAUGCCACUUCUAGGAAAAAAAAGUUCAUUCAGGGUCUGGCAAAAUGAAUAGAGUACAUCUACAGCCGUCUGAAAAAUCCCUGUACACUGCAUGGAUUCAAGACAUUUUGGAGUCAGUAAACUGUUUUGCAAAAAUAAAUGUUUGCAGAAAAGCUGAUAGAAAGAGGACAAUAUCUGUACUCCCUGCAGAAAUUCAACAGGUGCCACACAACAGCGCUUUUGUGAGAAGAACAAAGUCUCCUCCAGUAGGUCUGGGAGGAAGAAGUCUACAAGAAAUACCAGUGAUAUUUGAUCCAGUAGCUAAGAGGCUGUUGGACAUUGGAUAGUGAAAUGAUUCAUUUGCAAAAUAAACACUGUGACUACAUUCCAGCUUUGGGAAGUUCUAAGAUCUGUAUGUCUGAAAUUUUUCCUCUGUUCAGUAAUUUAUCUCCUAGAGUGGUCCAGUUUGUCUCUGACUCUGAAAUGGAAAGAAACCAGCUAAAAUAAAAAUGUGCCCCUGUGUUGUCA